GCCUGGGUGGCUCAGCGGUUGAGCGUCUGCCUUCAGCUCAGGGCUGUGAUCCUGGUCCUGGGAUCGAGUCCCACAUCAGGCU
rnacentral:tRNA from 1 species